UCAAAAGCACUUUAAACUAUUGAAUUUAUUCCAAAGGGAGGCAUCAAUAUUAUCAUUUUUACUAUACAUACUCAGGCUAUAAAAUCAUAAAAGCUAACUUCAUGAAUCACAUGAGAAUGUCAAAUUCAUGACUUAUAGUCACCUUUAUUAAAUCAUUAGCCAUUGUAUUGGAUAUUUGCCCUGAGAUAAAAAUUGGAAGAGCAUCGCCCUUCGUCAUGAGAUUGGAAGGCCACAGAAGAGCUUGCCCCCUACUGUGGACUCUAGAGUGGUCUCCAAGGAUGCCACAUGUGCGGCACACGAAGCUGCACGCACACCUUGUACAUCCUUGGCUGGCAUUGCCCAUCAAUCCCGACACACCCACCUACCCAGGAGAACGGCAUAGCCUGAUAUAGCGCUCCAAGCAGCCGUGCUUGAAGUGGAGUUUGGAGGAAGGGGAACCCCACUGACCCCUGCCCCGAGCACUUGCUUUGUGCUGAAAAAAGUCUGGCACUGACAGGCCUCUGGUCACAGACUCCAGACUCAGGGGAAUUGACUAGGUCAGUUUUGGGGUAUAAUUUCAAAACUCAUCUGGACGGUACUGAAAUGCUCUGGAUGGGAUGGUUUCGAUUAGGCCUACGUGUCCUUCCUGGAACCUUGUUGGCCUUGUCUGAGCCCCUUGGGUGAGUGAUCUGAGCUGAUUCCAGUAUGCCAGGCCCUUCAGACAUUUGAGUCCUAUCUCAGAGGACCUGAGGGUAGAGGGAUGCAGACAGGAGAGAGUUCCCACAUCCUUGACCAUUCUCUCUGCCCCUUAGGCAGGUCUGGUGGCUGAAGGCUGCCCUGGGCCUGAAGAUGGAGCUGGGAGCCCCAAGAGCCUCUUUUCUUCUGCUUGUCAAUAGCAUUGUGCAGUUUGACCAUUUUCCUUUUGGAAAGCGACCACUUACUCUUACCUUCCAAGCGAGAAAACCUGUCAAUCAUGCAAUGGUGAAAACUCAUUAUUUGUAUAAAACAAACAACCCUAUAAGAACAAAUAUUUAAAUGUGAUGAAAUUUUGCUUUGGCUGGGAGUGUUAUCCGUUGAAUUAUGUUGCCCCAAAAUUCAUAGAUUUAAGUUCUAACACCCAGUACCUCAGAAUGUGACCUUGUUUGGAGAUAGGGUCUUUACAGAGGUAAUUAAGUUCAAACGAGAUCAUUAGGGUGGGCUCUAAUCCAAUAUGAUUGAUAUCCCUAUAAAAAGGGGAAAUUUGGACAGAGACACAUGUACAAGGAGAAUGCCAUGGAACGUGAAGAUGGCCAUCUACAAGCCAAAAAGGGAGCCUGGAAUAGAUCUUUCCCUCACAGCCCUCAAAAGGAACCAACCCUGCCGACAUCUUGAUUUCGGACUUCUAGCAUCCAGAAUUGUGAGAGAAUAUGUUUCUGCUGUUUAAGCCAUCCAGUCUGUGGUACUUUGUUACAGGCAGCCUUGGCACAGUAACACAGCGGGUUUCUAACCCAUCCAUCUAGGGUCUCCUCUGAAAGGCUGGCAUAUGGCCAACAUGGUGACACUCCCACAGAAACCAUUUUCCCUUCAGGCUAUGGCUUUCCCUCAGCAAGACCCCUGAGGCUGAGGGUGGUCUCUGAGCUGGGCUCCUGACCACACUGGCAGACUUCUAAACCCCAGGUGUGGGAUGGCCAGAUGGAUGGCCAAAGGCCUUGUGACCCCAUUCAGGCUCUGUCUCCUCCACUGCCUUCUUUCUUCAACUAGCUCUUCUUCAAACCAACCCCUUUCUGGCAUCCAAUCCCUCCCCAGUGUCAGUCUCAUCACCAAACAACCUCUAAACCACCGUGUCACAUUCCUUGAAAGUUUUCGCCUCUGGUUCCAGGGCUUCCUCUUCAUACCUUUAAUGCCCACACCAUUGGUCCCUCCAACACCGAGCCUUAUCAUGCCUCAGGACCUUCGAUUCCAAGGUUCCUUCCCCUCACCUCAGGUCCCACAAGUAUGGUCACAUCCUGGACCUUCUCCUCACCAGGAGCUACUCCUCUUCUGGCGUUUCCUCUUUUGCCACAACCUCCUGGCUUUCCUCCUCCCAGGCCCGUUGAACUUGUCCAUCUCACCGCCUUUAUCCCUUCUCAACACUGUUAAACUGGCAUCCAAGAAGAGCGAUCUCUGAGAGGCAGAGAUCCACUUUACAAUUCUGGGUCCUACUUCCCUGGUCAGACAUUACUUCUCAUCCACCACUCCCUCCUAAUGUCCACUUGGCCCCCAACCCCAGUCUUGGCAUCACUCACCUUUGAAUAAGACCACAGAUUCCGCUUUUUUGGGCUUGACCUUGAUCCUUCUCUCUAUAGAGUUUUUGCAUGCACCCUCAGUCUCUGUCUGUCCCCACAUCCCACUCACUAACUGGCCUUCCUAUUUGGCCCCGGGUCAGCCCUGUUAGUCUGCAUAGCUGGCCUCUCUACAGGAUCGGAUCAAACAAAAUCUAUUCUUCUGUGUCCCACAGACCCCAACCCUUGAUCUCCCUUCUAUAGGGUCUGUUAGUGGGUUCCCAUUACCUCCCACAUUGUCUUGCUUUUCCAUUCCUUCCAGCUGCUGCUCCAACCCUUGACACAUCCCUCCCUCAUGGAAGACAGCCUCCCCUCCUACUUAACGCCAGGGAAAAGGUGUGGCUGCCUCAUUACAUGAGUUCGUGAGAGUGGGAAUGCGUGUGUGACAGACUUCUGAGCAGUUAUAAAGCAGUGAUGUGAAGAAAGAGAGAGCCUUGGACGCUUACAGCCUGCAGGAGUUUCCAGUCCAGGGCCAGGUGCUUGAGAGACAUGCCGCUUUCACAGUCCCUGCUGCAGCAGGCGGAGCACAGCAGCCUGCAGCUUAAACUUGGCCUUAGCACUUUGGCCUAAGAACUUGAAACCUUCCCGAGAAGACGAGAAACAGGAAAACCUGGUGAGAGGGUGAAAGGUAGGCUCAGGGGCCAGCAACAUGGUUUCUCUGUAGCCCAAGACUUCUCAGGGAGGCAUCUGGGUGUAACACGUGGGCUCCAGCUGUCAGGUCCUGGGGAAACGUGUGUGGGCUCCUCUGUUAGCACUGCUCACUGUGGAUAUCAAAAUUGUUUUCAAGGGCUCCAAGCCAGUGGGUAAAGUGAGGUAUGGAUUUGGGGAGAAGGUCGUUCUCUCCCCUUGUGCUGAGGUCCCAGGUCCUCCCAGCACCUGGGGACAGGAGGCUCUGGGAGCAUCAGGGAUGGUUACUGUCACCCCUAACACUGUUGUUCUCAUGCAGGGCACUGGCAGGCCUGGCAGCAGCAGCUGGAGAGACAUAAAUGUGCCCACAGGGACCUGGAGUCGAAGAGGAAGAUGGCAGCCACCAUCAUUAGAGAGACCUCGUCACUUCGCUUACUCGGAACCGUGUUUAACCCUUCCAUGCCUACACCCACACACCCACAUAGCAUCAUACACACACACACCAUGCUCUCACACACACCCUCCUCAGGGCCCUGCUCCACCAUUAUCACCCUCCUCGUGCACCUCCAGACUUUUCUACCCCUUGGCCACGCUGCCUCCCCUACACAGGUAGUCCAGGCUCUCCCAACCAGGGACACUCGCCUGUCAAUACUUUCUUUCCAGCAGGGACUAUUGGCCUCCCUUCAUCAACACAGUCCUGGUAAAAGUUGUCUGUACUUCUGCCUCUCUCCUUGUCUUCAACCACUGCACCCUGGAUUUUGACCUUCAGCCAAAAUCACAACCAACUCCGAAUGGCUGGAUCCAGGGUUCUUUCCCAGGGUUUUUGUCAUAUCCAAAUGCUCAGCGGCAUUUGACUGACCAUACUUUCUUGGAACUCCAGCCUCCUUUGUUCCCCAGGCACCUCACUUUGGGUUCUCUUUUUUCUAACUGCUUUUUCCUCUUCCUCCAGCUGGUCUGCAAAUGGCACUACCCUCUCCAAAUUCCAUAUAAAUCCUCUCGUCUCCUUUCUCUACAACUGCCACCUGAGGGUGCCCGCUCCUGCAGCUUGAAGUACAAUCAGAAUCUCCAUUCUCAAAGCAGCUGAGCUCCAGACACCAGGUUCCUAACUGCCCACUGGGCACUUCUCCCCGGAGGCUGGACCCUUUCGGGCAUCUUAACCUCAGCCUGUUCAAAAUGGAACUUUUCUUUAUGUCCCUCCAAUGAAACGUUGAGGCAUAGAAGAAGGAACCUCACACCUUCCUCUUUACAAUCUCCAAAACAAGUGCGCAGCUUGGGGCUGGAGGUGCAUUUAGUGACAGUGUCACCACUACUGUUUUCUAACCACAGAUGAGUUAAGCCACAAUGCAGAUCAGCCAAAAGGAGAUGAAAAUUCUGACUGAAACUUUUAUGGAAAAAGAUUUACCAUGAUGAAAAGCGUUCAAAUUGUCCCAUUCUUUUCUCUAGGUAAUUACAUGUUAUAUUACCACUAAGUAUCAUCCCAAUCAUCAGACCAACACACUGAUUGGGUGAAAUGUUGUCCCUGUUGCAUGCCAGCUCUGUGCUGCAUAGCCUUCUUCUCUUUCUCCGCAUUCAUCAACAUCUUACCCAUCCAAACCCUUUUGGCAUGUUGCUUGUCUCUGUCUGACAUUGUUCAUGGACCACACCGAGGAGCACCCAGUUAUUCGGUUUGGAGUUUACAGACCAGGAUGUCAGUCGCAGACAGAUUACAGAUCUUUCCCCUCGUGUGAGUGGCUCUGCCUUGGCCACCCCAGAGAUGGACCCCUGACCAGGCUGGUCAAUCAGCACAUCCUUCUCCUUCAACACAGACAUGGGUCAGAGAUGGACUGCUUCCUGAAAACUCUGCCUCCUCAGCUUCUCUGAAUCAACCCAAGUCCACGACUGCUUCUGCUGCCCAUCCUAGGACCUCCAGUUCCUUCCCCAGCCAGAGCAAACAAGGGGCAGGCAGAUUCCUCGUACUCCCAUGGUGACGAUGAUGAUGGCAGCCAUCACUGUGGCCAUUCUACAGGUGGAGAAACAAGGACUCAGAGAAGCUUACCCGGAUUUCCCAAGGGAGACCCAGAUCCUGCUUCUGCUGGCCUCCUCCUGGAAAAUGAUCAUUUGACAAAUAGAAAUCUCCAAAUUGCUUUGAUUUGGUGUGUUUCCUCAGAACUCUGGAACAGAUAUUGAUGGUUUCCUCUGGAAGAAGAGAAAAGUGAGAAAUCAGCUCACUUUAAGAUAAAUUAAGUCUUUAAGCUUGGUGUGAAAAAUGACACCCGGGACACAUACCCAGCCGGGAAUUUGUGAUGGCACAGGCCCGUGCUGACUGCCUUGAGAGCAAGCAAAAUGUUAUCAGGAAGACAGAGAUGCAUCUGUGCCCAGUCUGUUCAGAAUUUUAAGCACCAAUGUCAAUUGCACUUCAGACUGAUAAAGAGAAUAAUCCUCAUCAGUUUGUCAUUGGCCCUUGUCUCUGGGUUAUUCCUCCAGGGGUCUGUGGCAACCUCGGAUGGUGUAUUAGUCAGGUCCUCAACAGAAGCAGAACCAAUAGGAUGCAUGUGUAUAUUACAUUAUUACCUCUCCAUAGAUGGAUGGAUGGAUAGAUAGAUAAUAUAUCCCUAUAUCUACAUAUCCAUCUAGAGAGAGAUUUACCUUAAGAAAUUGGCUCACAGGGUUGUGGGGCUGCUAAGUCCAAAAGCUGCAGGGCAGGCUGGCUGGCUGGAGACCGAGGGAAGAGCUGAUGCUGCAGAUCAAGUCUGAAGCCAGAGAAGGUUGGCAGAAUUCUUCGUCCUCGGGGGACCUCAGUCUUUUUUCUUCUAAGACCUUCAACUGACUGGAUGAGGUCCAUGCCUGUUAUGGAGGGUAAUCUGCUUUACUCAAAUCCUACUGAUGUAAAUGUUAACCUCAUGUAAAAA
rnacentral:lncRNA from 1 species